rnacentral:rRNA from 1 species
UCCUGGCUCAGAUUGAACGCUGGCGGCAGGCCUAACACAUGCAAGUCGAACGGUAACAGAACUAGCUUGCUAGUUGCUGACGAGUGGCGGACGGGUGAGUAAUACUUAGGGAUCUGCCUCUGUGUGGGGGAUAACUAUUGGAAACGAUAGCUAAUACCGCAUAACGUCUACGGACCAAAGAGGGCUUCGGCUCUCGCGCAGAGAGGAACCUAAGCGAGAUUAGCUUGUUGGUGAGGUAAAGGCUCACCAAGGCGACGAUCUCUAGCUGUUCUGAGAGGAAGAUCAGCCACACUGGAACUGAGACACGGUCCAGACUCCUACGGGAGGCAGCAGUGGGGAAUAUUGCACAAUGGGGGCAACCCUGAUGCAGCCAUGCCGCGUGUGUGAAGAAGGCCUUCGGGUUGUAAAGCACUUUCAGUUGUGAGGAAAGGUUAGUAGUUAAUACCUGCUAGCUGUGACGUUAACAACAGAAGAAGCACCGGCUAACUCCGUGCCAGCAGCCGCGGUAAUACGGAGGGUGCGAGCGUUAAUCGGAAUUACUGGGCGUAAAGCGCACGCAGGCGGUCUGUUAAGCUAGAUGUGAAAGCCCCGCGCUCAACGUGGGAGGGUCAUUUAGAACUGGCAGACUAGAGUCUUGGAGAGGGGAGUGGAAGGAACAUCAAUGGCGAAGGCAACUCCCUGGCCAAGGACUGACGUCCAUGUGCGAAAGUGUGGUUAGCGAACAGAAUUAGAUACCCUGUAGGUUCACACCGUAAACGCUGUCUACUAGCUGUUUGUGGAUUUAAUCCGUGAGUAGCGAAGCUAACGCGAUAAGUAGACCGCCUGGGGAGUACGGCCGCAAGGUUAAAACUCAAAUGAAUUGACGGGGGCCCGCAACAAGCGGUGGAGCAUGUGGUUUAAUUCGAUGCAACGCGAAGAACCUUACCUACUCUUGACAUACUAGAAACUUUUCAGAGAUGAAUUGGUGCCUUCGGGAAUCUAGAUACAGGUGCUGCAUGGCUGUCGUCAGCUCGUGUCGUGAGAUGUUGGGUUAAGUCCCGCAACGAGCGCAACCCUUGUCCUUAGUUACCAGCAUUAAGUUGGGUACUUUAAGGAGACCGCCGGUGACAAACCGGAGGAAGGUGGGGACGACGUCAAGUCAUCAUGGCCCUUACGAGUAGGGCUACACACGUGCUACAAUGGCGAGUACAAAGGGAUGCAAACUGGUGACAGUAAGCGGACCCCUUAAAGCUCGUCGUAGUCCGGAUUGGAGUCUGCAACUCGACUCCAUGAAGUCGGAAUCGCUAGUAAUCGUAGGUCAGCAUACUACGGUGAAUACGUUCCCGGGCCUUGUACGCACCGCCCGUCACACCAUGGGAGUGGGAUGCAAAAGAAGUAGGUAGCUUAACCUUCGGGAUGGCGCUUACCACUUUGUGUUUCAUGACUGGGGUGAAGUCGUAACAAGGUAGCCGUA